GAGUUUGAUCCUGGCUCAGAACGAACGCUGGCGGCAUGCCUAACACAUGCAAGUCGAACGGUGGCUUCGGCCAUAGUGGCGCACGGGUGCGUAACGCGUGGGAAUCUGCCCUUGGGUUCGGAAUAACUCAGAGAAAUUUGAGCUAAUACCGGAUGAUGUCGAAAGACCAAAGAUUUAUCGCCCAGGGAUGAGCCCGCGUAGGAUUAGCUAGUUGGUGGGGUAAAGGCUCACCAAGGCGACGAUCCUUAGCUGGUCUGAGAGGAUGAUCAGCCACACUGGGACUGAGACACGGCCCAGACUCCUACGGGAGGCAGCAGUGGGGAAUAUUGGACAAUGGGCGAAAGCCUGAUCCAGCAAUGCCGCGUGAGUGAUGAAGGCCCUAGGGUUGUAAAGCUCUUUUACCCGGGAUGAUAAUGACAGUACCGGGAGAAUAAG
rnacentral:rRNA from 1 species